UGGGCCACCUGUCUGAGUAUCUGAGUAAGUGGUUGGCAACUCUGCCUGUGGCAGGGGGGUUGGAACUCGAUGAUGUUUGAGAUCCCUUUCAGUCCAAACUAUUCUGUGAUACGAUUCUAUGACUGUUUCGUGGGGACUUUGAGCUCUGGAGUUGUGCAAUCUUUGGAAGUGAAUGUGGAUUGUGAACAACAUAUUCCUGUUAAAAAGGACCAGGAAACUAACAUGUUCUUACAGUGGCACCCAUAGAUCACCACAUCUACAGUGCCAGAAUGGAAUAAGUGAAGUCACCUGAACCUCUCACUCUGAAGAAAGACCGGGAAAUUGUGCACAAGGCCUCCAUACUUUCCUGAAAGCAAAGAAGCUUGAGUGGCUGAUUGCCAGGUGUACUGUGCCAAGAGUUACUGGGAUCUCUGACACAUUCCAGUGGGAGUAUUAACAGACCAUUUACAACUGGGAACCUUUUUUCUUGGUCAACGUGGUAGGAACCUGUCAGAACAUCAUGGAGAUGUAUGAAGUAACUGCAGAUUAAUGUGACUGAAAAUGAGAGAAUUUGAUCUGCUGUCUGUUGGAGAGGAAAGUUGAAAUAAUGAGACCAGACUGCAAAGGGACCAAUAGAAAUGGAAGAAGGACUGCUAUUUGGAAGCAGUACAGUCUGGAGACUUUCUCCUGUUACUGCCCUGUAGAGGUACAGCUCUGUACACUGCUAUUCAUCCAGUUAUGCCCUCUGAACCUGAGCCAGCCUUCCUUCUUGACGGAGGAGAGAGAGCUAGUGAUGAAGAUAGACUGCUUUACCACAUCACAGUACCAAGGAGGGAGACAGUCCUCCUGAGAUGCAAUCUUAAGCAAAGUACAAGAAGUUCCCAAAGGAUACUGAACGUGAACAAAAACAUUUCCAGCAUUCUUAUAAUAAUGCUGUGUUUACUUUGUCAAUUAAUGAUUCAUUACCCAAAACAGCUUGUGCAUUACAAAUGACUCUGUACUGUAUUUAUGAAGCUGCAAACUGUUAAAG
ensembl:lncRNA